CCUCUUGUUCGGGAUAACUGCUGGAAACGGCAGCUAAUACCGGAUAAGCUCCACCAAUUGUAUGGUGGAGGAAAGGAGGCCUCUUCAUGAAAGCUUCCGCGAGGGGAUGAGUCCGCGUCCCAUUAGCUAGUUGGUGAGGUAACGGCCCACCAAGGCAACGAUGGGUAGCCGGUCUAAGAGGAUGACCGGCCACACUGGAACUGAAACACGGUCCAGACUCCUACGGGAGGCAGCAGUGGGGAAUAUUGCGCAAUGGACGAAAGUCUGACGCAGCGACGCCGCGUGAGGGAUGAAGGUUUUCGGAUCGUAAACCUCUGUCAGGAGGGAAGAAAGCGCAUGGCGCCAAUCAGCCAUGCGUUGACGGUACCUCCAAAGGAAGCGCCGGCUAACUCCGUGCCAGCAGCCGCGGUAAUACGGAGGGCGCGAGCGUUAAUCGGAAUUACUGGGCGUAAAGCGCGCGUAGGCUGUUGUGUAAGUUGGGGGUGAAAUCCCACGGCUCAACCGUGGAACAGCCCUUGAUACUGCGCGACUUGAAUCCGGGAGAGGGUGGCGGAAUUCCAGGUGUAGGAGUGAAAUCCGUAGAUAUCUGGAGGAACAUCAGUGGCGAAGGCGGCCACCUGGACCGGUAUUGACGCUGAGGCGCGAAAGCGUGGGGAGCAAACAGGAUUAGAUACCCUGGUAGUCCACGCUGUAAACGAUGGAUGCUGGAUGUCGGGG
rnacentral:rRNA from 1 species